UUAAGUGUAGUUUAAAUAAAACAUAAAUUUUGUAAAUUUAAAUUGAUAAUUUCUGCUUAAC
rnacentral:tRNA from 1 species